rnacentral:rRNA from 1 species
GACAGCAAUAUGAAGGCCAGGCUGAAGACUUUGCCGGAUUAGCUGAGAGGUGGUGCAUGGCCGUCGUCAGUUCGUACUGUGAAGCAUCCUGUUAAGUCAGGCAACGAGCGAGACCCACGCCCACAGUUGCCAGCGUACUCUCUGGAGUGACGGGUACACUGUGGGGACCGCCGCUGCUAAAGCGGAGGAGGAAUGGGCAACGGUAGGUCAGUAUGCCCCGAAUAUCCCGGGCUACACGCGAGCUACAAUGGUUGGUACAAUGGGUAUCGACACCGAAAGGUGAAGGCCAAAUCUCCUAAACCCAUCCGUAGUUCGGAUUGUGGGCUGCAACUCGCCCACAUGAAGCUGGAAUCUGUAGUAAUCGUGUCUCAAAAUGGCACGGUGAAUAUGUCCCUGGCUCCUU